rnacentral:lncRNA from 1 species
CACGGUAACCAGUCUUUCUGGAGGAAUUCCCAGAAGAAAGUUCUUGUUCCCGUAGAAUCAGCACUGCGGUGAACGAUGGCAUCAGGAGGCAGUAAGGAGAGCGCAGUGGCCGAACUCCUAUGGUACACCCUUGAGCAACUGGGGGAGCAUGCUCUCACAGAAUUCAAGACUGAACUCAGCAAGAUCCAGCCUGAGGAGGGGUACGAGUGCAUUGAGCUGGAGAGCGUGACGGAUCUGUCGCCAGCAGCGCUCGCCAGCCUGCUGUACAGCCACUUUGGGCAGUCCCACUGCGUGGAGGUGACAGCAGAUGUGUUGUGGGCCAUGGGAUGGAUGGCCCUGGCCGAUGAUCUCCUGAACAAGCUGAGCCAGGGGGCAAGGUUUGUUGAGUGGAGCAGUGACCUCCUAAUCCAGAAAGUCUAUAACGUGGAUGGGACCAUGAAGGAACUCCUCCAGGAAGGUGUGCUGAGUUGUGAGCAGCAUGACAGCAUCAUGGCGGAGAGCACCAACCUGAAUAGAAUGCAGAAGCUCUAUGAACUGGUGCCAGCAUGGGACGUCAUGGCCAAAUAUUGCCUGUAUGAUGUGCUGAUGAGAAAUAAUCCCUCCAUCUUCUUGCAGUAUGUAGCAGAUACCAGGGUUGAAUUAUGCUUUGAAGAAGGUGGGAUGGAAGAACAAGGUGAGCUCUGAGCUGCUCAGCACUGUCACCCUUUGCUGAACUACAUCACCCUCCCAACGUCCCCUCCCUUCCCAGUCUGUGCAGUAAUCCCUUUUAAGAUGGACAAGGAUCCAGGCUGUCCUCAGCUUUUGCUUCUCCUCCCUGAGCUA